AAGUCGUAACAAGGUUUCCGUAGGUGAACCUGCGGAAGGAUCAUUAUCGAGUUUUGAAACGGGUUGUAGCUGGUCUCAAUACGGGACAUGUGCACGCCUAACUCAUCCACUCUCAAACCCCUGUGCACUUAUUGUAGGUCGGUGGAAAGACUUGGUUUUUUAUUAAGUCAGGUCGGAAGCCUUCCUAUGUUUUUACUACAAACGCUUCAGUUAUAGAAUGUCAUACGCGUGUAACGCAUUUAUAUACAACUUUCAGCAACGGAUCUCUUGGCUCUC
rnacentral:misc_RNA from 1 species